AAAUGACUGAGAUAUGGGCAAAAAAGAGAAGUUGAAAUGCGAACCGCGAGAAAUCAGCCUGAAGGUAGCCAAUUCGUAUAAGCCAUUCAAUGAAUUAGAAGUUACUUUUUCGAAUAACUUUUUCCACAGACAUCUGAGCACAUCGACGUUGAACAACUUAUGGUAGCUAAUGAGCAGAUCUAUCCAAAUCUGUGUUACAAUUGAAGAUCCAUUGGAAACUGACCGAGUUAUAAGCAUCCAAAGUGGCAAAAUGAGAAAUUUUUGUUUGAAAAACCAAGAAAAAUUUAAGUCUUUGUAUCUCGAAUAACAUUUGACACAAACAACUUAGCACAUCGGCGUAGAAUAACUUUUGGUAGCUUAUGAAAAGAUCUAUCCAUAUCUGUGUUACAAUUGAAGAUCCAUUGGAAACUGACCGAGUUAUAAGCAUCCAAAGUGGCAAAAUGAGAAAUUUUUUUUGGAAAAACCGAGAAAAUUUUAAGUCUUUGUAUCUCGAAAAACAUUUGACACACACAACUUAGCGCAUCGGCGUAGAAUAACUUUUUGUAGCUUAUGAGAAGAUCUAUCCAUAUCUGUGUUACAAUUGAAGAUCCAUUGGAAACUUACCGAGUUAUAAGCAUCCAAAGUGGCAAAAUGAGAAAUUUUUUUUGGAAAAACCGAGAAAAUUUUAAGUCUUUGUAUCUCGAAUAACAUUUGACACAGACAACUUAGCACAUCGGCAUAGAAUAACUUUUGGUAGCUUAUGAGAAGAUCUAUCCAUAUCUGUGUUACAAUUGAAGAUCCAUUGGAAACUGACCGAGUUAUAAGCAUCCAAAGUGACAAAAUGAGUAUUCACGAAAGCGCCUCGCGCACUUGGUCGGGUUUUUGGUCCAACUUGCACCAUUUUUGGCCCGUAUUUGCCCCAUAGCUCCGCCGGUAUCCAAGAUAUCGCCACACUUUUUUCUGGCCAUAGCUAGAUGGCACUUGUGGCUAGAUUUCUUCCAUGCACCACGAAAGCGCCUCGCGCACUUGGUCGGGAUUUUGGUCCAACUUGCACCAUUUUUGGCCCGUAUUUGCCCCAUAGCUCCGCCGGUAUCCAAGAUAUCGCCACACUUUCUUCUGGUCAUGGCUAGAUGGCACUUGUGGCUAGAUUUCUUCCAUGCACCACUAAUCGCUACCAUGUCUGUGGCCGGAGCUAUUCGACGAACAACCAU